AAAAUAUCCAGAAGCAAGGAUCCUUGCCAUUUGUGAUAACCCCGCAGAAGAAAGGAGGAUCAUAAUGAAGAUACUUCACAAUGUGAGUUAUAAUUCUUCCAAAUCCUAAUGCAUUACCAAGAGAAACCCCUCUCCCCAUUAAAAAGAAAGGUGAGCAAAGAACAGCACCCAAAGCUCAACCUCACCAGUAAGAAACAGAUCCACUCCUUGAAUCCUAAUGUCUCGUCUGCAGCCUGAUGGAUGUGGGGCUGCAGCUUCCUGUGGGCGCAACCCUUCUUCAAAAACGUAAAUGGGUCAUCUACAGGAAUUCCUGAAAUGAGGGAGAAGGUCAAACACCAGGAGAAUCUCUUGGGGCUGCAAACCCAGAACUCUAGGAAGCCAGUGAGAUCCGCCAUGGUGGACUCCAAGUGUGGUACUUUCUCACCCUUUACAUCCAUCACCUGUCAAGGCGGAACUAGACCAGUGGGUGUGCACGCUUUGUAAACUUUGGUUGUGGGUCUGAGAGCCUAUUUGGCAUUGCUGCACCCUCAUGUAUAGAAAAAUAGAGAAUAAACAAAUCAUAAAAACGAGGUACAGAAAUAUUUAGAAUAUUUUGUUGAAAGAAAGGAGGUAGCAUACCCCUUAUGUUUUUUUUAUGACAGCCGAUAAAAAACGACAGUGUUACCCCUUAUGUUUUUUUU
ensembl:lncRNA